GAAUGGCGAGGCUCUCGGCACGACGGCGUGGAAUUUAUGGGCGAGGAGAGUCGGUGCCGACAACACGUGUCUGAUUGCUUCCUGGAAUGGUGGAUUAAAAUUAGGUAAGUGGACAGUGUGGAAUCGGGAAACUUUAGUAAGUCGGUUGCUCAUCAGUUGGUAAAGGCGGUUGGAUUGGAGGCUACGGAACGGAAAAGGCACAUGUGGUGACUUGUUGGACGGUGACGCUGUUCACCACUUUGAUCCAAAGGUUCGUCGAUCGAGUAAGCAACGAAUCUAGGAAAACUUGGCCUGCGAGAUGGGGGCUGUGCCCCGCGCCUUGGGCCUUGGCCGCGAGGAAUGAAAUACACUCAACAAAAAGAAAAGAAAAGAAAAGAAAAGAAAAGAAAGAAAUACACUCGAUCAUAGCAUAGUAGGUACCGAUGCUUAGUAGUUAGAGAAAAGAGAAAAAAGUGCCGCCAUACUUGAUAAGUAUAUGACGACAUUUGCUUAUAAGAUCAUCCUACACACCCAAGAAAGAAAAUCCACUCCUCUCCUUUUAUAUCACGUCUCUCCUCCGCGGGUCCGAUAAUAUUCACUUUUUCCGGUGAUCAACCAAUACAUGUUUAAGUUUUUACGAAUUUGACUUGUGUGUUUCUUGCCUUAAUAUGUUUAAGAAAAUUUCUACUACUCGAUCAGAAGUAUUGAUAGGCACAUCAACGAGCACUAUCAUGAUUUGGUUAAUAUAGUAAAUCAGAUAAGGCAUCUCUAAUCAAAGAAUAAGCUAGAAGGUCAUGUUUAAAGUCGAGUAAAGAAUAAACAAAAAGUUGGUAAGCAAGUGUCUCGUGCUAACCAGCAUUUCCGUUUAUACUAAAUCAACGACACUUAUUGAAAAGGAGCAAAGAAGAAGAAAAAAGUUGGCGGGGAGUGUCUUGUGCUUCAACACUCGUUAUGAAUCGGAAGAAGUAGUAUUUUUGAGAAAUAAAUUAAAUACGGAGUAGUAUAACUGUGCAAGGAAACAUGAAAGGAAGAAAAACAAGAAGACCUUGAGAGCCGCCGAUGUAUCAUGUAUCGGUAUGUAGCAAAAUGUAUGGGUAAUCAGGUAGGAAGAGUUAUAGGUGAGCUCGAUGGAUCGAUGGAUCACCUCGUGUCAUCGUCGGCGCCGGUGGCGAGGUAGAAGCGCUGGAGGUCCGUCCUUAUUUCCGCGUUGAGGGUCCAGGUUCGUGUGCUCGCCAACGCCUUCCUCUGACCAAACAGGCCUUUCCUCUAGGCUUUCCAUUCGGAUGAAGCCAAUUCAACGAGUAGUAAAAUUAAAAGAAAGAAGUCCAUAUUUCAACCUAAAAUGUAUGUCUUGGGACGAAAAACCCACUGAAGUCAAAAACCGUUUAUUUUUAACCAUCAAAUCCACAAAACCAGACAAAUCAUCCCAUUAGACGGUUUUGAGACGAUUUUGCUGCUGAUUAUGAUUUUUGACCUCUCUUUUGACCUGCUGACGUGGCAGUUGCAGAUAUCGUGCCUUUCUUCUUCCUCUCCCCGUCCCUCUGUGUGCCCGAGCUCCCUUGUGGACGAGCCGCCUGCCUGCAGCCCCACUCGCCGCCGACCGCCGCCAGCCCGUGCUCGCGGUCCCUUCUGCUCGUGUCGCCCAUGCCCCUGGUUAAGCUCGAGUUGGAGCCGACUCCAUGGCCUCCAGCCGCCCCAAAUCACCCCUCUUUAUUUUGUAUUCCUUCCGCGCGCCAAUAUUCCAGCCGCCUCGAGCUGGAUCUGCGCGCGGCCCGGCCAUCCCACGGUGUGCCGUGUGCAAUUGCCCCAUUCGGAGGUUGGGUGGCUUGAUAGCUGCUGUGUUGGGUUCCAGCCUUCCAGUUGUUUUCUUGUGCAAAGGCAUGUUCACGAUAGGAACAGUUCGGUGAUUAUAAGCGUGUUAAGACAUUUUGCAGAUGUAUUGAUGUGUUCAGCUUGAAAACUGAGAUUUUGCAAGGAGUGUGCAAGUAAAAUGGCAUAAUAUAUGUACUGUACUUGAAUUAUCAUGCAAGAGAAGAUUUCAGUCAA
rnacentral:lncRNA from 1 species